rnacentral:rRNA from 1 species
UUGCUUAAUUGCACCACAUGUGUUUUUCUUUGAAACAAACUUGCUUUGGCGGUGGGCCCAGCCUGCCGCCAGAGGUCUAAACUUACAACCAAUUUUUUAUUAACUUGUCACACCAGAUUAUUACUAAAUAGUCAAAACUUUCAACAACGGAUCUCUUGGUUCUCGCAUCGAUGAAGAACGCAGCGAAAUGCGAUACGUAAUAUGAAUUGCAGAUAUUCGUGAAUCAUCGAAUCUUUGAACGCACAUUGCGCCCUCUGGUAUUCCGGAGGGCAUGCCUGUUUGAGCGUCGUUUCUCCCUCAAACCGCUGGGUUUGGUGUUGAGCAAUACGACUUGGGUUUGCUUGAAAGACGGUAGUGGUAAGGCGGGAUCGCUUUGACAAUGGCUUAGGUCUAACCAAAAACAUUGCUUGCGGCGGUAACGUCUACCACGUAUAUCUUCAAACUUUGACCUCAAAUCAG